rnacentral:tRNA from 1 species
ACCUGGCUGACUCAACUGGUAAAGCAUGAGACUCAAUCUCAAGAUUGUGAGUUCAAACCCCAUGUUGGGUG